rnacentral:rRNA from 1 species
AUUGAACGCUGGCGGCAGGCCUCACACAUGCAAGUCGAACGAGUGGCGGACGGGUGAGUAAUGUCUGGGAACCUGCCUGAUGGAGGGGGAUAACUACUGGAAACGGUAGCUAAUACCGCAUACCAUCAGAUCUGCCUAGAUGGGAUUAGCUUGUUGGUGGGGUAACGACGCACCAAGGCGACGAUCACUAGCUGGUCUGAGAGGAGGACCAGCCAAACUGGCACUGAGACACGGUCCAGACUCCGACGGGAGGCAGCAGUGGGGAAUAUUGGACAAGUGGCGCAAGCCUGAUGCAGCCAUGCCGAGUGUAUGAUGAAGGCCUUCGGGUUGUAAAGUACUUUCGGCGGGGAGGCGUUACCCGCAGAAGAAGCACCGGCUAACUCCGUGCCAGCAGCCGCGGUAAUUC